GGGCGAUUAGCUCAGCUGGUCCAGAGCACUUGCCUUACAAGCAAGGGGUCGCUGGUUCGAGUCCAGCAUCGCCCA
rnacentral:tRNA from 1 species